rnacentral:rRNA from 1 species
CAGUCGCCGCGGUAACACAGAGGGUGCGAGCGUUAAUCGGAUUUACUGGGCGUAAAGCGUGCGUAGGCGGCUUCUUAAGUCGGAUGUGAAAUCCCUGAGCUUAACUUAGGAAUUGCAUUCGAUACUGGGAAGCUAGAGUAUGGGAGAGGAUGGUAGAAUUCCAGGUGUAGCGGUGAAAUGCGUAGAGAUCUGGAGGAAUACCGAUGGCGAAGGCAGCCAUCUGGCCUAAUACUGACGCUGAGGUACGAAAGCAUGGGGAGCAAACAGGAUUAGAUACCCCAGUAGUCCCUGUCUCUUAUAC